GGCAGGCGGUGGGGCGGGGGCUGUGCGCGGGGGGCGGGGCGCGGGCUCGGCCCUGGCGAGCGCGGAUUGGGCGCCCGUGGGUACGGGGCCCCUCUACAGGCGCCCUUCCUCUGCCAGCCUCAUCCCGACCCCGGCAGGCUGCCCUGGUCCCGCCUGCUUACAGCGGAGGAAACUGAGGCACGCUGCACGGAAGAGUGCUGCAUACUCCCCGAGAGCUGAGAGUGGCGGGGAAUCCGGGGCAGGGGCAGGGGAGAGGCGCGACCGCUGAGGUGAGUGACCUUGCUUCGGGAGGAAGCUGGGCAUUGAUUCGUUCGCGAAUUCAUUUAUGUAUCAUUCAUCCGCCCAGUCAGUCGAUGGCGGAACACUGACCACGUGCCUGCCACGCCAGUCGUCGUGGGAGCAGCCACUAGCCAGACAAGGUCCCGGCCCUGAAGAAGCUCUCAUUCCUCUGCGGAAUGGGGCUGUGAGGCAUUUGCACCCCUCUGCCACCUAUAAUCAUGGUUAUUUUUAGCAUAAUUACCCGGUGGUUUGGCCCCCACCAAAUGCCUGCCCUGUAUAAACAGCCCAACACAUUUUAUUAAGAUGACUCUGGAAGAAAGAAUCUUCCCAUUUUACAGAUGAGGAACCCGAGGCUCCAAAGAGCUGAAGUCCCACAGCCUGCUCCUGAUGGAGAGGGGGUUUGAGGCCAGGCCUGUCUGCCUAGGAAGACAGAGGCUCCAGUUACUGGAGUAAUCUCCACUCAUCCACCUCAAGAAGGCCAUCGGCGAGAGGACACGCCAGCCCCGGGGCCCACAGAAGGGGUGAGGGUGGGUCCUUCAAGGCCUCUGUGGCCCAGGGGACUUGAGAAGACAGGAGGGAGCAGGUCCAGCUGGGACCUCCUCCUGGGAACAGGGGCCUUAUUUGCUGGAAACUUCUUUCCCAUUCUCAAGCAGAAGCCUCUGGAAGAGCAUGGAGGGUUGGGCUCACGAGGCCGAGGUGGCCAGGCCCUCACUCCCUCCACUCAGCUUCGUUGGGCUUUCUUCCCUGCACCCGGUGCGCCAAGCCUUUUCCACCGCCGGGCCUUUGCCUAUGUGGCUCCCUGCAGCUGGAACUCUUCUACUUCAUCUUCCCGAUCUCAGCUUAAAUGCCCCUUCCUCGGGAGGCCCUCCCUGAUCGCCCAGCCAAGAGACUAGGUAUAUUGCACUCACUGCCGUGACUACAGAACAGUGCCUGACACACAGUGGGUGCUGAAUACAUGGAUGUUGAAUGAAUGAAUGAUCAGACUGCAGAACUCCGGGGCUGGUCCAGCGGCAGCCUAGCCAGGAAGCCAGGCCCAGGAGGGUCUCCCUCUGUCGCCUAAGCUGGAGUGCAAUGGCAUAAUCACGGCUCACAGCAGCCUCGACCUCCUGGGCUCAAGUGACUCUCCUGCCCCAGCCUCCCAUGUGGCAGAUACUACAGACCCUCCAGCCACCUCUCCUGUAAAUGCCUCGUGUCUUUGUGCUACCCAGAGCCCGAGUCUGGCCCCAUGUGCCCGUGUGGGUGCGGAACCCUGCUGCCUGCAACACAGGUCUUGGAGGAGUCAAAAAGGGUAACUUCCUGAUGUUGCCAUGGCAUUUGUAAACUGUCAUGACGCUGGUGGGAGUGUGGCAGUGAAGAAGACCAGAGGUCACUCUCGUUGCCAUCUUGGUUUUGCGGCCAGGCCUGUGACACUUGGAGAUGUUUGCAAAGCCAUGAUUCGUUGAGCACUUGCCAUGCACCAGGCUAUGGGGUGAAGAAUGCCUACCACAUGGCCAUGUUAAUCCGUGCCGCACUCCAUGAGCUGUGCACCCCUGGAGCUCCACGCGGGAGACUCGAGUCAACCCAGAAUCAAGAUUCGAAACCUGCUGCCUCUGCCUCCGAAGCCCUGGGCCCUCCAGCACUGAGCUCAGCGGUGUCUCUUUAAUUCUUCCCACCCCAGCUGCAACCAGUCCAUGAGUUCCUUCCCCAAACGCAGGUGUGCAGCCAAGAAGAGGAAGGAAGGAGCCGGCUGCUUCAAGUGUGGCCGCUGACUGCUCACAGCUGUGUUUCCCACCCCUCACGCACCCUUCUUGGCAGCCCACAGGGACCGACUGGCUGAGGACAGGUCCUCAGCAGGGCCCCCUUGCUUACUGGCGGGACUGACUCAGAAAACUCACGCUUCAGGCCUGCCUUGGGAUCAGGCCUCCAGCUGGGACCUGUCUGCUGUUCUUCCUCUUGCACCUUGUCUCCUUACUCCCCUCUUCCGAGAACCCUCACUUACAGAAAACCACAUGCACCCACAUCUCCAUCGCAGGCUCUGCUUAUAGGGAACCUCAACUAGGAUGAGGUCAUGUCUGACUUCCCGGCUGAGUGCCUUCCCCAAAGUCCUCAUGUCCUGCAGACAGAGCCUCCUUCCCUGCGCCCAGCCUUCUGAGCCUUCCUCAUCUGAUGCCUGUUAAGCUCCCUUUGCUGCUGAGGUCCUGGGUGCCAGCCCAGCACUCGGUAAGAGGGGGCAAGUCUGAGUGCCGUGGCUCAUGCCUGUAAUCCCAGCACUUUGGAAGGGUGAGGCAGGAGGAUUACUUGAGGCCAGGAGUUCAAGGCCAGCCUGGGCAACAUAGUGAGAUGCCAGUCUCUAAAAAAACUAAAAUAGGCUGGGAGCGGUGGCUCACGCCUAUAAUCCCAGCACUUUGGGAGGCCAAGGCAGGCAGAUCACUUGAGGUCAGGAGUUUGAGACCAGCCUGGCCAACAUGGUGAAACCCCGUCUCUACUAAAAUACAAAAAUUAGCUGGGCAUGGUGGUAUGUGCCUGAAAUCCCAGCUACUAGGGAUGCUGAGGCAGGAGAAUCACUGGAACCCAGGAGGUGGAGGUUGCAGUGAGCUGAGAACAGGCCACCGUACUCCAGCCUGGAUGACAGAGCAAGACUCAGUUUAAAAAAAAAAAAAAAAAAGAAAAGAAAAGAAAAAAUAUUAGCCAGCCAUGGUGGCACACACCUGUAAUCCCAGCUACUUGGAGGCUGAGGCGGGAAGAUCCCUUGACCCUAGGAGUUUGAGGCUGCAGUGAGCUAUGAUGGUGCCACUGCACUCCAGCCUGGGCAACAGAGCAAGAUCUUGACUAAAAGAAACAAAAAAGUAAAAAAAUAGAAAGGGUCAAGACCAA